UUUUCUCUCUCUAAAAUUUGAGAAACACGUGUAUUUUCUCUCUCUCUCCAAGUUUUCAGAAAUUCGUACCACACUUCUACACAACACAAUCUCGCUCUUGCGAAAACAGAACGAAAUUCAAAAUCCCAAUCUUUCCUUUGCAUCAAUGGCUUCCACCGAAGAAACCCUACGCAAAAUCCAACAAACUCUCCGCCGUCAAAAUCCAAGGCAACACCGUCCGUUCACUCAAGGCUUCAUCGGCACCUAAACCUGACGUCGAAGCCGCCGUUCAAGCCCUAAGCACUCAAAUUUGAGAAAUCGUCGAUCGAGAAAUCACUUCAAUCGUUACUCUCUGGCUCUGGUUCUCGUGAAGCCUUCCGUCAAUCCGUUGUUAAUACGUUUGAAAGGCGAUUGUUAUAUAUUUCGUCGUUUAAGAUUUAUUGCGGUGUUGCUGGUCUAUAUGGUUAUGGUUCUCCAAUGUCCUAUCCUUCUGGAAUCAGGUGAAUUGUUAAUGCUUACAAAGCAGUUAGCUAACUAAUUGUGGAUUUAUCAAAUUAAUUUUUGUGCAACAAAGAAUGAAAUGUGAUUAUGAGCUGAAUUUCGUUAGAUUAUGAGCUGAGUUUUGUUAGAUUAGGAGCUCGAUUUUGUUAGACUAGGAGCUGAAUUUUGUUAGAUUAGGAGCUCAAUUUUGUUUGGAUUGAAUUAUUUGAGCUUAUUUUCUCUCAGUGAGAAGGGGGAGAAUUCUUGAAAAAAGCUAUAGUAGAAGCAAUUUAGGAUCUGUUUGGAUUGAUUUAUUUUAAGCUUAUCUAGUGCAUAAGCACUUGUUAACUAUUAGGGGAUCGUAAUGAUUUUAGACCUUAUUUUUGCAGGGGAAUGAUUUAUACAUUGCUGGAUAAAAUAUAAUAAUUUUCAGUAUAUAUUGAUAUUUUCAUGCUUCAGUUAGUACUUGGCCAACUCAAAACUACUUCAUAAAUCCCACUCUUAAUUCUUGAACAAUGUGUAUUACUAUGUUUCAAUGGAAAUCACACCAUUAAGGUUGGAUGCUUUGUUUCUUAACAUAUUCAAUGCUAUUCAUCAUUUAAAUGGUUUGACAAUUUAUGUGCAAAAAUCAUAGAGUAAAGUUCCUUUGUAUUCAAUGGAUGCAAGCUAUUCAUUCUUGCAGCAAUAUGAAAUAUCAAUUGCAAGGUAGUAUUGGUUCCAUAUUCCUUUACAUGUGAUUCUUAUUUUGGAAAAUAUAAAUACAUUAGUCAUCACUUAUUUAAAUUUUGAUCAAACAAAAUUAGAAUGCAUAAUAGAAAAUGCAAGGAAUUUACCAGAUACUGCAACCUCUCCAUCCAUGAAAUAGAAAGGGUUAGAGAAUGUUAGUGUGUCAGAGGUACUAAUGAGAAAAAGGGGAAGUACUCAUCAACCAUGGACAUUUACAUCAUGAAAGAAAUUUUCUCUCUAUAGUCAUUUCUAUUUCUGAGGUAAACUGAAUAUCUUAGCUCUCAAUCCAAUACUAGAUACUACUUCCUAGUUAUCAUAAUUUUAUCUUUGUCACCGAGUUUUUCAUAAAGAGGUUUUGGGAAGACAUGAUGAUGCUAUUAUCAAAAAAGUAUUGGAAACAAACCAUAAUGAUUUAAGAAAACUACACAUCUCUAUAAAGAUAUGGAUUAUAGUCUAAUUAAAAGAGAACUUUUAGAAAGCUUUAAUUCUGUUUAUUUUUCUCCUGUCAUAGUAGUUAUUUUAGGUAUAUAAGCUGCAGUGUAAUAGUACUACAUCUAUUGAUUUUGAAUAGUCAAGUGAUUGUGCUCAUUAGAACCUUUAGGUAAUGUACUACCUCUUGCAGUGUGUUAUAGGAGACGACGAUCCCGUGUGCUGCAUUUUGGGCUCAUCUUCACAACAUUGAGCGUGCAUAUCAUAUGAUAAAACACUUGAUUAUCUUGGUGUACCUAGAGUGCAAAAUUGGUUUCAAAAAAGCCACACCUAUUUCUCUUGUUGUUUUUGUUAUUGUUCUUGUUCUUGUUUAGGGUUUGCCUAUUGCGGAAGCCACACCUAUGUACUAGCAAAUUCUGCAGUUAUUUCCAAGUGUUUUUGUUGACUCUUUUGAUUGUGUGCUGAAAAUAAAUACAUGGUUUUUGAUUCUUAUCCGAAAUUAUUGUACUUUUGUUGUUUCUUUAGUCGUUGUUUGUUGAACCGUCUUCAAGUUCCUCUCUGACAUGUCAUUUUCUGAUUCUUAUCCGAAAUUAUUGUACUUUUGUUGUUUCUUUCAUUUUCCUGGUACCCCUUGUAAAUAAUGUUGUUGUUUUAGUCUUUCACUUUGUUUCUUAUCCUUGCUUACAGCAGUGUUACAUUCCUUUCACUAGAAAGGUUAAUGACAAGAAGGGGAUAGAGGGUCAAAAAGAGACAAAAUCUUUAUAAUGAUGAGCUAAUAGUAGUAGACAUAUCAUCUGACCCUGUGUGGAUGGAAUGCAUAUCCUUUCUAAAAUCAUUGUCGAUGGCUCAUAUUUGUUUUUGAAGCCGGAUUAAAACGCUUUAUGCAUGAGCCAGUCUAUAUUCUCGAGCGAGUUCUACUUUCUCCCAUCUCUGAUUAAUCUUGUCAUUUAACUCCUCCAAAAAUCUUAUACUGCUUGUUGUUUUUAACGAUGUUUCAGAUAUGUUGAUUUCUUUACCCGUUUGAACAAUGACCAAAAUAUACAUGCUUUAUUUGAGAAGGCAUUGAGUUCACUUCCUCUGGAGAAAUAGUUGAGUUAACGAUACACUGUUAAUGCUGAUAAGGGAUCUAUUGCAAACAUUUCUAAUACGUCGCCAAAGGUUGUCUAUCUUGAUACUUCAAAGAUGUUGACAUACGAUCCGAAGCAGAAUCCAGGUACAGCUGAUGGGACAUGCAUUCGAUGAAAUUUUUAAAGCUACACUGCGUGCAUUCGUUGCAUUUUUAGAAAACCCACCCACAGACCACAGUAAUUUUCAAUUUUUGCUUACAUGAUAAUAUUCAAACUCUGCCAAGCCUUCAUAAGAUUGAGAUUUUUUCUUCAGUUUGCCAUUAACUCCUAUGUUGGUUUGUAAAUCUUGCAAAGAACCCGAUACUAUCCCAAGCUUUGGGUUAUUUUUAUUUAAAUAAUUAGGUAAGAUCUCUAGUGGGUCAAGGUGAUUUCAUGUUGUAUCUUUGCCAGGCUGCUUCUGCCAAACCUCAUACAGUAAAAGAAAGAAAAAAUAUUAAUAAAUAAUAAUUGUGGCCUUGCUUUCAGCAUUUAUUUCAUGUGUUUAAAAUACUAGAUUUUGGCUUCCCCCUUCCCUUAUGAAUGUUGAUGUAUG